AUUGAACGCUGGCGGCAUGCCUUACACAUGCAAGUCGAACGGUAACGGGCCUUCGGGUGCCGACGAGUGGCGAACGGGUGAGUAAUACAUCGGAACGUGCCCGAUCGUGGGGGAUAACGAGGCGAAAGCUUUGCUAAUACCGCAUACGAUCUUCGGAUGAAAGCAGGGGACCGCAAGGCCUUGCGCGGACGGAGCGGCCGAUGGCAGAUUAGGUAGUUGGUGGGAUAAAAGCUUACCAAGCCGACGAUCUGUAGCUGGUCUGAGAGGAUGAUCAGCCACACUGGGACUGAGACACGGCCCAGACUCCUACGGGAGGCAGCAGUGGGGAAUUUUGGACAAUGGGCGCAAGCCUGAUCCAGCCAUGCCGCGUGCAGGAUGAAGGCCUUCGGGUUGUAAACUGCUUUUGUACGGAACGAAAAGCCUUCUUUUAAUACAGGAGGGUCAUGACGGUACCGUAAGAAUAAGCACCGGCUAACUACGUG
rnacentral:rRNA from 1 species